AUUGAACGCUGGCGGCAGGCCUAACACAUGCAAGUCGAACGAGUGGCGGACGGGAGAGCAAUGUCUGGGAAACUGCCUGGUGGAGGGGGAUCACAACUGGAAGCGGUAGCUAAUACCGCAUACCAUCAGAUGUGCCCAGAUGGGAUUAGCUUGUUGGUGGGGUAAAGGCUUACCAAGGCGACGAUCCCUAGCUGGUCUGAGAGGAUGACCAGCCACACUGGAACUGAGACACGGUCCAGACUCCUACGGGAGGCAGCAGUGGGGAAUAUUGCACAAUGGGCGCAAGCCUGAUGCAGCCAUGCCGCGUGUAUGAAGAAGGCCUUCGGGUUGUAAAGUACUUUCAGUGGGGAGGCGUUACCCACAGAAGAAGCACCGGCUAACUCCGUGCCAGCCGCCGCGGUAAUAC
rnacentral:rRNA from 1 species